UCUACCAAAAGUCACAGCGCGUUCUCUCUUUUUCUAUGUCUCCCUCUCUAUACGUACAUCUCUUCAAUUCGUCCAUUUUUACGCCUUACUCCAUAUGCAGUCUCCAUGAUUGUCUAUCAGUCCCUCUUACUUCCUUUUACAGCUCGCUUAACCUGCCGAUGUCGCUGCUUUCAGCCCAUUUUCUUACACGGACGUUGGGCUUUCCUGUACGGGCUGCUCUCAAACUCAAAUCUUCCAAUUAAGCCUCUUUCUGGACCUAUUUGACGAAUUUUAAGUAAGAAUCAAAAACUAUCCAGAGCCUUUGCAGAUCAGCAUAUUGAACAACUCAUUGAUGUCACUGCUGUUAGUGGCGUGGAUCUCAGGGAAGAGGAGGAGCAACUCUUUUCUGGGCCUAAUGAAGAUAGUCGAGCUUCAGAAGCAUCGAAGAAAGUUGUGCGAGAAGAAGAUGAAGCACUCAUCUUACAGAGAGCUCCCAUACAGGAAAAAAUCACAGAGAUUAUGAGCAAAUGUGGGUCAAUAAUAUUGGCAAUGAUGUGGAGCGAUGUCUAUCACUAGUUAAGUUCAUGCAUUUCUAUAGUUCUUCGCAUUAUUUAAUAUUUUUUCAUGCAAUAUGAAACUGAUCUUUCAGUGGGUAGAGGAGAGGAUAUAGGGAGUUCUGUGCAAUUUGAUCAGAUUUUCGAACCAAGCGAGUUUUCCUUUUUUUCAGGCGAGUUUUGUAGUUCCCAUAUGGAAAUUCGAGACCACAUGUUUUUCCCCUGCUUGGUUACUCAAGGUAUUUGGAAGAGUUUAAUGGCUCGAAUACGUGCACAAGAUGAAGUGCAGAUAAAGUGCAAACUAGAGAUCAAAGCUUUGCUGGAUUUCCUCCCUUAAAGGUAGGAAGUUGGAUGUUGUUCUCUAGAAGUUAUUCUGGACAUAUUACAUUUAUUGGAUAUGGAAGAAUUGCAACACCAGUAUUUUCAAGAAACACCAUAUGUAUGUUGUAGCUUUGAAAAUAUAGAGAAUUUUUGAUGAAGUUAGAUUGUGAUGUAAAUAUUAGCUAGGCUGUCAUUUGGUUUUUUAGGAGUUUAGCUUCUCCUUUGUACUUAGAUUCGUGGGUAAAACUUAUUUAAAUCUCUUCAGUAUCAUUGAAAGUGUCCACCACUUACCCAAAAUAAGGCAAAAAAAAAACUGAAAAGGAAACAAGAGAGUUCCCUUGAGGAGAAUUCUUCUGCAUACUUGAUUACAGGGUAUAUUGUACGUCGUUGUUUUGGACCUAUCCUCUUGUGAUCCAAGUUUAAGUUUGUCUUCUUUGGU